GAAUUGACGGGGGCCCGCACAAGCAGUGGAGUAUGUGGUUUAAUUCGAAGCAACGCGAAGAACCUUACCAGGGCUUGACAUACAGGCGAAUGAUGUGGAAACACAUCAGUCCUUCGGGACGCUUGAACAGGUGGUGCAUGGUUGUCGUCAGCUCGUGUCGUGAGAUGUUGGGUUAAGUCCCGCAACGAGCGCAACCCUUGUCGUUAGUUGCCAGCAUUAAGUUGGGCACUCUAACGAGACUGCCGGUGACAAAUCGGAGGAAGGUGGGGACGACGUCAAAUCAUCAUGCCCCUUAUGUUCUGGGCUACACACGUACUACAAUGGCUAUUACAGAGGGAAGCGAAGGAGCAAUUCGGAGCAAAUCCCCAAAAAUAGUCCCAGUUCGGAUUGUGGGCUGCAACUCGCCCACACGAAGUCGGAAUUGCUAGUAAUGGCAGGUCAGCAUACUGCCGUGAAUACGUUCCCGGGCCUUGUACACACCG
rnacentral:rRNA from 1 species